AAGGAGCACUUCCGCAUCGCCUGAAGAUUAAGUACCUGAGAAAGUCCCUAAAGCCAUCGACGGUUAGGAGGGAACCCAACUUCACUUUCACUGCUCAAAUAUUCUCCGUUGCACCAACGGCCGAGCCUCCAGAUGCUCGGUUGGUGGCGUGAGGACGGCACGCACGUGAAACAUGACAGUGAGGGGAGCCGCAGCACGUGUGUUCGGCUCAAAACAAGAAGAAUAAGAGUGAUGGAGACGACGAGCGCGAGGCGUUACACAACUCCGAGGAAGACGCUGAUGGAGGCUGAACACUCUUCCGAAGGGUUCGCGGCAGAAGGCCGCCCGCCUGCUCUUGAGUCACAGACGUGCUUUCCGAAUUCCUAAAAAAGGGACAUUCAGAUGUUUUCAUAUGAGAUC
ensembl:lncRNA